AAGCUCCUGCCUCAGGAAACAGGACAAGCACUCAGGAGGGACACAUGAAGAGGAAAAGCAGAAGGGACUGCAAGAGGGGGACCCACCACCUCCCAGACAGGGAGUGGCUCAAGGUUUUCCUCAAACAUUCCAUGAGUCAGUCUCUCUCUCUCUCUCUCUCUCUCUCUCUCUCUCUCUCUCUCAAAACUAACAGACACAUUACUUGUAUUCCCUCUGUCUUAAUGAAGGAAUAUCAGCGGGAAGGAGGAAAGAACAAAAAACAUGUCACUCAAGAGGGGAGUGAUUACAUGUGCAGAAUUAGGCUUAUUUGCAAGCAAAAGAGGAGGUUCUCAAAAUGGUGUCAUUUGUGGGGUUCCAGAGAGAUUUCUGUACAAAAACACAUCAACACAUGAGGCCAUCAAGCUGUUGGAAGUACACAUGUCCUUUCCUGAGACUUUGUGGAGUAACCUAUAUGCUGCAGUUAACGAGUAGUGGUAUAGUGGUCACUGUUAUAUGAUUCGUUUGCACAAAUACCCUGAGGAAGUUGAGCUGCUGGGGUCCUAUUAUUAUUCCAUGAUUUUGCAUCCUUUCAUCCAGCACAUAGUUAUUGAAUGCCUACUGUGUGCCAUGAGCCAUUCUAAAUACUCAGGCAACAGCAGUGAACAGCUGGAGUUUAUACCCAAUCACACCUUGGCUGGCCGGGGUGUAGUUCAGUGGUAUAGCCUUUGCUAUGUGUGCUUGAGGCCCUGAGUUCGAUUCUCCAGCACUGCAAAUAUAAAUAAAUAAAGUGAACAAUCACACCUUGUACUCAAUUUCUCAGACCAAAGAGACAGGGAUGAAAGAAAAGAGGAAUGGACAGACCUAGGUUUUAGGACAGAGCAGUACCUUGGGUGGUUGAAAGUCACUGGCUAUGGGGAUGUCAGGUGAACAAGGGAAAUUUGUAGAUCUGAGAGAGGAGAAGAAAGAAGUUGUUGGAAAAUCUGGAGAAACUUGAUUGUACCAUGUUUUUGAGAAUGGUCUUAACUGUGGCCAGAAUUUAGAAAACAACCAAGCUGUUUUGGCCGUUCUGUCCAAAGGACAAGUCACCCAAAGCUUAUAGACCACCAGACCUUUUUCUUCUCUCUUCUCUUUUCUCAUCUCCUCUGCUCUCCC
rnacentral:lncRNA from 1 species